AUUGAACGCUGGCGGCAGGCCUAACACAUGCAAGUCGAACGAGUGGCGGACGGGUGAGUCCUGUCUGGGAAACUGCCUGAUGGAGGGGGAUAACUACUGGAAACGGUCGCUAAUACCGCAUACCCUCGGAUGUGCCCAGAUGGGAUUAGCUAGUAGGUGGGGUAAAGGCUCACCUAGGCGACGAUCCCUAGCUGGUCUGAGAGGAUGACCAUCCACACUGGAACGUAGACACGGUCCAGAAGCUUACGGGAGGCAGCAGGGGGGAAUAUUGCACAAUGGGCGCAAGCCUGAUGCAGCCAUGCCGCGUGUAUGAAGAAGGCCUUAGGGUUGUAAAGUACUUUCAGCGGGGAGGCGUUACCCGCAGAAGAAGCACCGGCUAACUCCGUGCCAGCAGCCGCGGUAAUAC
rnacentral:rRNA from 1 species